AAUGCAUGGUGGGGACAAUUCUUAAGAAUUUUUUGAAUCUUUCCCAAGCAUCAUAAACUGAUUAACUAUCUUACGUGCUAAAUAGGUGAUAUAAUUUAUAAGUUU